rnacentral:rRNA from 1 species
AUUGAACGCUGGCGGCAGGCCUAACACAUGCAAGUCGAGCGGAUGAAGGGAGCUUGCUCCUGGAUUCAGCGGCGGACGGGUGAGUAAUGCCUAGGAAUCUGCCUGGUAGUGGGGGAUAACGUCCGGAAACGGGCGCUAAUACCGCAUACGUCCUGAGGGAGAAAGUGGGGGAUCUUCGGACCUCACGCUAUCAGAUGAGCCUAGAUCGGAUUAGCUAGCUGGUGGGGUAAAGGCCUACCAAGGCGACGAUCCGUAACUGGCCUGAGAGGGCGAGCGGUCACACUGGAACUGAGACACGGUCCAGACUCCUACGGGAGGCAGCAGGGGGGAAUUUUCGGCAAGGGGCGAAAGCCUGACGGAGCAAUGCGGCGUGUGUGAUGAAGGUCUUCGGAUCGUAAAACUUUUUAAUUAGGGAAGAAGAAAUGUAGUUGAAACUUUGCUUGUUUUGACGUUACCAAAACAGAAAGCCCCGGCUAACUUCGUG